rnacentral:rRNA from 1 species
GAUGAACGCUGGCGGCGUGCCUAAUACAUGCAAGUCGAGCGAACGGACGAGAAGCUUGCUUUUCUGAUGUUAGCGGCGGACGGGUGAGUAACACGUGGAUAACCUACCUAUAAGACUGGGAUAACUUCGGGAAACCGGAGCUAAUACCGGAUAAUAUUUUGAACCGCGUGGUUCAAAAGUGAAAGACGGUCUUGCUGUCACUUAUAGAUGGAUCCGCGCUGCAUUAGCUAGUUGGUAAGGUAACGGCUUACCAAGGCAACGAUGCAUAGCCGACCUGAGAGGGUGAUCGGCCACACUGGAAGUGAGACAGGGUACAGACACCUACGGGAGGCAGCAGUAGGGAAUCUUCCGCAAUGGGCGAAAGCCUGACGGAGCAACGCCGCGUGAGUGAUGAAGGUCUUCGGAUCGUAAAACUCUGUUAUUAGGGAAGAACAUAUGUGUAAGUAACUGUGCACAUCUUGACGGUACCUAAUCAGAAAGCCACGGCUAACUACGUG